GCUGACGUGGCGCGAUCUCCGCCGUCGAUUUCGUCCAGGGCGCGAGGCCCUCUCACGAACCCGCGUUUUAUCCACGGGUCGUGUGAAAGCCCGCGCGGCCCGUUCGCUCCGCUCUCACCCGCCUCGCACGUCCUCCUCUCCCCCUCGCGCCCCUCCCAUCGCCGCCACCGCCGCCGCCAGCUCCCAAUCAAUCCCCACAGCCGCCGCCUCCGCUCGUCUCUCCUCCCGCAUCCCCUUCUCUCUCCCGCUCCAGUCCCCAUGGCGCCGCCGGUGCUGUCCCGCUCGCCCUCCUUUCCCCACUCGAGGUCCCUCGUCUCUCUCCGCCCCGUGGAGCUUGUCUCUGGACACACGCCUCCGUCGCCAGCCUCCUGCGGGAUGCGAGAGGAGGUGGACGGGAAGGGGCCUCCUCACCCGCUCGACGUCCUCCUGCCGCCUCUCCUCCUCUAUCUCAGCGCCCUCAUGCGCCUCUCCUCCUCUGUUCCAUGCGCCUCCAUGGCCGCCAUAGGGGGCCGCCGCAUCCCCUGCUCGGGCCAGCAGGGGCGAGCAGCAACAGGAGGAGGUGCUGCUGCUAUGUCUCCGGACGAGCAGGUGGUGGCCGGCGGGAGCACUGCCGCCGAGCACUGGAGUAGGGUGAAGCAGGUCGAGCAGGAUGGCGCUUGCGGAGUGCUGCGCGGGAACCUCCACAACGAGCCACCGACCCUGACGGCCUGCAGGGCGAGCACCGGUCAGAUCUGCCAGGUCCAGAUGCGUCGUCUCCGUGGUCUGCUCCGCUCCGCCCAGCCGGCCGCCGCCGCCCCACCUCUGCUCAUCUAGGUGGUUGCUUUGUAUACAUCAGGAAGCAGCUCCAUUGUUUGCAUCUGGAGUAUUUUUUUAGGCUACAGAUGUAACAGAUGAUCUCCAUAGGAUACUGAAUGAGGCCACAAAUCCCAAAAGCCAGCUGGUAACGUCCUGUUUUGCCCAAAAAUUACAGUUAUGUGAUGGCAUGGUGCUGGUGCUUAUGUGAGGAUGAACCCAGCUGAUGUGUUAGAGAGACAGAGAGGAAAGAGACUGUCGUUUGUUGGUGAUUCACUCAACAUGAACAUGUGGGAAUCACUUGUUUUGUAUCGUGAGGAACUCUAUCAAAGACAAGAGAAAGCUGUUCGAGGUAUCCGGCAACCGCAAAUUCAGGGAUGAGGUCUCCUACUCUUUCUUGUUUCAGGACGAAAGCUUAUGUGCUAAAUUCAGGUUGUCUAGGAUUACAAUUACACCCUGGAGUUCUUUCGCUCCCCUUUCCAUUGGUCAUGAAUGGGAGUUGUAUUAAUACCAAUGUGCUUUUCAGAUAUCUGACUGGUACUUCCCUUGGAUCUUUUGUAUGGCCAGCUGUUUUGAUUACGGAUGUGCCUUAAGCAAUGGGGUCUACAAAAGGCAGAAAUAUCAAGAUUUUCAUUGAUUAAAUGGUGAAAGUUCUAACAAGUGAUGUUGUGGCCGUACCGUAGAUGAUGUAGCUAUUUGAGUGCUAUAGCUUCUAAUAAUGGAGCAGGUGAAAUCUUGAUCUAUCAUCACUAAUCUUUUAUCCUGUAUUGCUAAUGACAUGCUAACCUUUUAUCUUCAUGAAUUUUAGUACUGGGCUUAACGGCAUAUUUUUCUAUCCUAUCUGCUUUCUGACAAAUGUUACUACGAUUACAGUUGAUUAUGUCCAAUGGGUUUUCUUUUGGUUUUCUAUGUGUAGUGUUCGGCAGGGAGUGCAUGCUGAACAUCUCUUCUGUAUAUAUUUCAUCUAUAAGUCUGAAACGUUUCCAUUUUUUACCUAACGCAAGCUGAUGCAAUUAUUGUUGAGGACAUUGUUGCUUCAGUGGUUGUAGCGGUUGUCACUGUGCAAGAAAUCCGUAGGUAGCUCAGGUGUGAGUCCAUGCUUUUUUGUUACUUUGUACAUCCUUCAGAAUAGAAUCUGAAGCUUGUCUCGAUGCUCCUGUUGGUGGGGAUCACAAUUCUUGGCCAAAACACUUCGGCGUGUUGUGAUGCAUCUCCCCACAAGAUUUGAUGUCGGUUGUGGUGUUGCUCGGUCUGUUGGUUGUAUAAACAUCACGCCUAUUCGAUUACCGGUGUAUUAACGACAAGGAGAUGCUAUUGGGAGGGCGAUGUUUAUUUGCUAAUAUGCAUUGCAUAUUCAUGAGAUGGAAAUGCAGCUUCUUAGAAGCAUCUAAUGGAUUUGCUCGCUGCUCUGGAAAUAGGCCUCAUUUAUCUCAAUUAAAUGGUGAUGAUUUAAACGUCAGAUGUCUCCUGCUUGGUUUUUUUCGUGUAUGUCCGGAGUUUGAGACCAAAAGUGGGUUUCAAUUGUAGGUUUUCUAUUUUUUUGGUUCAGCUGAGAUAUUUAAACAAUGAUGUUUCUUUUAGAUAAAUUUGAUGCUGAUGUAAUCCUACAGAUUUAAGUGCUAAAUCAAUGAUACGUUGAAUCUUAUUGAGUGACCAAGUGAUCGUAAUUCUGACUUCGGUUUUAUUUCAUUGUACUAAUGUAGUUGGGAAAAGUAGAACAUCGAAGAUAUUUUCUUUAAUUAUUGGGUUAGUGAUCAUAACAGUUCAUAUUUUUUCCUUGCUUGCUGACUCUUCAAGGUAUCAAGAAAUCAUGUACUUUACCUUCAUGUUCUGAUUCCACUUUUGAUCUACUGUACGUGUUGUGCUUGGUUCAGCUGCCUGCCUUGAAUUCCUGAUUUCAGUUCUUCUAUAUGUCUGUUGUGACCGAAAACAUCUAUAGACAACCUUCUUUGUGUGUGUGUCAUUCUUACAACAGACACAUUAGCAUGCAAGUUAGGCUGAUGUUCGGCGGAGUAUGCAUUUCACACAUCUAUUUGCAGUAAAAAAAAGGGUUUACAUUUACACAUGGCAUGCUCCGAUUGGAUAAUUUACGUGACUUUUGUGAUCAUUUUUUCUGAUGUAGAACGAGCCAAGGAUGAUUAGAGGCCCAUACAGAAUAGUGCUCAAUUUUAUACUCGAUCUUAUGUAAAAGAGUUUAGCCUUCCCGUGCAAGCUAUUAUUGCUAAAUGCCUAGUGAUUCAUGGGAAAAGAUAUUUGUGAUAGAUUGUUUGAGAUACACACAAGGAUUAUAGCUUAGCCUUUGUGUGGUGUCAUUUCUGAAUUUUUUUGACACACGCAAAUAUGCAAUUGUACAAAUUCUACCUUUGUAUGUUUUCAUUUCUGAAAUUAAAUUAUAACUCAGGUUCCGACUCUAGCAUUCUCAUAAUUUCUAAGAGUGCAUAGAUUCACCCAGGAGAUGAAUGAGGUCACCAGGCCAAGGAGAGGCGACACUGCAGAUUCACCAUGCACUUGCCGCUGAAGAAGGCACAGGAGGGCGUCGUGGCAUAAGCGUUGGCAUUGCGACCAUGGGUAUUGCAGUGGUCAAUGGUGGCAAGGCAUCUCGCCACAUCCAGAUAUCUACCUCCAGCCGCAAUUUGUUCCUAUGAAGGCUCAUGUUGUUUCUCUAGAUGUUGUCCAUGUUUAUUAUGUGCUUGAUAUUAAUUGUGAAAUGGAUUUUCUUUUUGUUAAUGUCAUCCAAGCGGAACAAAGCCUUUUCUUCUGUUUAAAAAAAUCUUAUACCGUAAUGUGCUCUGAUUAAAGACUGAUUUCACAUGAACAUUGAUAAUACCACAUUUGUCAUCCAAUUUUCUAUUAACAAUCGUGUAGCACGGGGAGGCGGGAGAUGAUGCAGCCAAUGACACUAUCUAGCAUUUCUUUUUAUUUUGGCAUUUCUUUCGUUACGGUGCAGAUCUAUUAAUGUGGAGAAGAAAAAGGAUUGAGAAAGGUUAAGUUUAUCUGUCCUACAUAUCGUAUAAUAAAUUCCAUAUAUUGUUCUAAGAUAUUGAUCUAUAAAUGAUGCAUUUGUGCCAUCUAAUCUAAAUUUCUUAGCUGCAUGGAAGUGAUAGUGCUUCUGAGAUAUUUGCGCUGGUUAUCUAAGUAAAGUUCACCUAUCUAAUAUUCUUGCUAUUGGGUUACUAUGUGAGCACCAACUAUAGCCAUUGUGGAGAUACCUCCGUAUUUUUUUACCCUGUUGCUAUUGCUCUGCUUUAUUGCUUCCUUGCAAUCUUGCUGCAAGUGCAAACCACUAUAUGGCCAUCUUGAAUAUCAUAUCAGAGAAGAACCUUUUAAAACAGCUUCUCAAACCAUGUUUAUUAUGCAUCCUCUAUAGGUUUGGCAUUCUGUUCUUGCUGCAGGUGCAAACCACUAUAUGGCUUCAGUCUUUAGAAGUUUCCACCAAACUGAUGUUGCUUCCAUUUGCUAAAUUAGGUUGUAAACUUGAAGGAUGGAUAAGUCAUAGACCUUGAUAGAAAAAGUGGCCUGAUGCUCCUGCUAAUGACAGCUUCAUCCUACUGCAAGAUUGUAAGGGACAUUUUAAAGGGCACCUAUGUUAUACCAUCGCUCUCGACCACAGUCCUAGGUGACAAGUUCCAGUUUGAGCGGCUUGACUACUUUGGACACGGAUUUGACCCCCCGAGAAGCUUGUCUUCAACAUGACUAUUAUGGAGGAGCAAAAGCGGUCGCCGUCGGUGGGAGGAUCGGAAUACCGCCACUGCCUCUCUCCCUUCCAAUUGCUUGCACACCUCCAGCAAAAGUCCUUUUUGAUAUCAGAAAUGUAAGUUACAUGUUGAGGCUACGUUUCGAUAAAAAUAUGAUAUAAUGUCCACAUAUUUCUUUUAAAGUGUGAAAUACCAAACAAUAUAAGUUACUAGCUGGUCUUUUCUUUUAGGAUCUUUUAGGCAACAUUGUAAUAGUUAAGAUAAUUGCAGAUCACUAACUAAAUUGAGCUUUUGGUGGUAUAAUACAGGUGCGGAAUUGUUAUGAAAAAGGGAUUGCAGCAUUUUUAUGUGAGAAAAUGACUAAUUACUCCCAUGCAGCAUGAUGUGUGAAAAUAUUUGGUUUUGCCUACCUUGAUUUGCACAAAAUUUCUACUAGGAUGUGUUCUAAUGAAUAGUUAGCUUAGUGGCAUAAUAAAUAUGACCAUGUUCAAUUCCUAUUUAGGCAUACCCUUAAGCUUAUGGUCAAUUCUGCCUUUAUUUGUACGCUUUGAACUGUGAUAGCUUCAUUGACACCAAAAUAGUUUGCCAUUUACACAAAACAAUCUUCGCAUUGAUUAUGACCUCAAAUGAGCAACUCCACGAUGUUAGUAUUGCUUGCUACUAUGUAAUUUUCUUGAUUCUCCUACCUCUUUGUAACGGUUGUGAUGGAUUAAAAUCUUUUUUAUUGAUUGUACAUGAUACUGUGUAUGAUGUGGGAGAUGCUGCACUCACUGGCCAUCAAAGACUAAAAGGUAUUGUUUUCAUUUAACAAUCAUGCAAUCGAUUUAGGUAAUCCAAAAAACAAAUAUAUGUUAGCUUCCUGUAUGUUAGUUAUUAUUCUGAUCCAAAAUAUAAGCCAUUUUAGGAAGCUAAAAAUGCCUUACAUUUUGGAACAGAGUAGUACAUCUCAAAUGCCAAUGAUGAUUUCUCAAACAUCGCUACCUCCAGUGUUGCUAAAUCAAUUCUUUCUACAGAAAAUGGGCAAGUACCCUGAUGAUUUCUCAAACAUUGCUAAAUCGAUGCUUUCUGCAGAAUGUGGGAAAAUAUCCUUAUGACACUCUGAUUCAAGUGACGGUGAACAGUACCCUGGUUACUACUGGAGUCACUCAGAAAGUUAUGGUCACCUGCCUACCAUACCUGACAUUUGGAUGACUAGCCUUUAUGGUAGUACAUGUAUGACGACAUGGGAUAUGUUAGUGAUCUCCAUAUAGCAGUGUGUGUUCUGUAGAUAAUUUUUCAUGUACAUUGAUGGGUGGUGCACAGCUAGAUAAGAACAUGCAAAAAUAUGCUAUAUACGCAUAUGGUAGGUGCUUUAUUGCUUCCGGAGCAAACAUGGUUUGCUAUUUUAGUACUGCAGAUAGUUUGUGGGAUGGUUGAUUAUUAGACGGAAGUGCUUUAAUCCAAUUUAUUUCUUUA